CCUGGACUUUGAGGCUGGGCAGCGAAUGUUCUGUGGGUGCUGCCUGAGGCCAGAUGCGGGUUUUGGCAUCAUGAGUUCAGGAGAGAACCAGUUGGUGGGUGAGCAGGAGCGAAAGGAAACCAGGAAAACCCAGGGGGGCUUUGUGGGUUAAAAGAGGCCACUGCCUUUCCAUCCUGACCAUAGAAGGGAAGAUUGCAGAGACCCUUGAGUGAAAAUGUCAGCGUUUGCGGCUGGGGUGGAAUCAGGAGCCGGCACCGCUCCGGCUGCUGGAAACUCCGAGGAGCUCGCAGCGUCUCCAGGAGACUGUCUCAACUAAGAACCUACGAAGGAAAGAAAGACGUUGUCUCCUCUCCCCCCCGGCAGUGGGCACGCAGCGUGGCCGAGCGAGUUCCUGUGAUGGUGGCCUUAGGACCCACACUGUUCAGCUGCCCGUGUUCACGUCCUGGACUUGCCACACCUGGAUUUCCCGGCACCCUUUGGCAAACUUCCCACAUCCCUUGGUUCUCUCACUCCCUUCCUGAUGGCAUUAUCUAGAUCGUCAGGCUUUGCACAACUGUAUUUCCCUCAUCUUUGCCCUUUGUGUUACCUUUUUAUUGGCAGUGAUUUGUUGCUAAUAACAGAUUUCACAAACCCAUUGUGUCCCCAGACUUCUCCUGUGGCCUGCAGCACUUCCUGGAUUUCUGUUUUUU
rnacentral:lncRNA from 1 species